UACAGAGGGUGCAAGCGUUGUUCGGAAUUAUUGGGCGUAAAGAGCUCGUAGGCGGUUUGUCGCGUCUGAUGUGAAAUCUCUGGGCUCAACCCAGAGUCUGCAUUAGAAACUGUCAGGCUUGAGUAUGGGAGAGGUGAGUGGAAUUUCCGGUGUAGCGGUGAAAUGCGUAGAUAUCGGAAGGAACACCUGUGGCGAAAGCGGCUCACUGGACCAUAACUGACGCUGAGGCGCGAAAGCUAGGGGAGCAAACAGG
rnacentral:rRNA from 1 species